CUCGUAGGCUGUUCAGUUAGUUGGGUGUGAAAACUCCGGGCUUAACCCGGAGCCGCCACCCAAUACUGCUGUGACUAGAGUUCGGUAGGGGAGCGGGGAAUUCCUAGUGUAGCGGUGAAAUGCGCAGAUAUUAGGAGGAACACCGGUGGCGAAGGCGCCGCUCUGGGCCGAAACUGACGCUGAGGAGCGAAAGCAUGGGUAGCAAACA
rnacentral:rRNA from 1 species